rnacentral:rRNA from 1 species
UACGUAGGGGGCAAGCGUUGUCCGGAAUCAUUGGGCGUAAAGAGCGUGUAGGCGGUCCGAUAAGUCCGCUCUGAAAGCCCGGGGCUCAACCCCGGGAGGCGGGCGGAUACUGUCGGGCUAGAGUCCGGAAGAGGCAAGUGGAAUUCCUGGUGUAGCGGUGAAAUGCGCAGAUAUCAGGAGGAAUACCGAUGGCGAAGGCAGGUCUCUGGGCUGACACUGACGCUCAUGCACGAAAGCGUGGGGAGCAAACAGG